AAUGGCGAUACUACAAAAUAUCAAUGCCAUUAUUCCAAGCCCAAACACUUUAAAAAAAUUUAUCUAUUAAACAUGCUGCAAACUUGUGUGGUAUACGGAUGCUAAAUUACUGCCAGAAUAGGAAAUAUUUCAUGACAUCGGUUGAUUGAGAUGUAGAAGAAAACAAGGAAUCUUUAGAUUGCUUUAAAGACAGUUGGGAGUCAUAUCUUGAACUACGGUAAUUAACAAAUGGAACCAGUGAACCAAAGUUUCCAGUGACAUAUAACAUACCUUAACGUGAUGUUUUUUAUAAAUCUGUGAGUUAUGCAGGUUGGGGUGGAUCCUGUGGUCAUGAUGCACCAAUGAUUGCUUACGAUGCUUUGAUGAUGGCAAAAGAUUCCUGGUUUCAAUUGUGUUCUUGUUCUAUGUUUCAUGGUGGAGAUAGGGACAGUACAGGAAUAUUGGCUGCAGCUUGGUGGGGUGGUAUAUAUGGUAGGAAAAGGGUACCCCCAAUGUAGAGUCCUGGGGACUUUUGAUGUUGUUGUUGACUGACUUUUCAACAACCUUAGAGGUAGUCAUCUUCAGGGUCAAGAUAAAUGAAGAUGUUUGAAGAUAACAACCGUUAGAAAUGUCGAAACGUCAGUCACCAACAUCAUCAACAGUCUUUCUCAAGACUCUACAAACCUGGACGAUCUACAUCAACAAACUUGUAACAUAAAUUAUGUUAUGAAAUUCUGUCUUGAUGUACGUCAGGGUGAUUGUGAAUCACACAAUAAAUAUUAGUACUUAAUUAUGCUAAAAAUAAAUUACUUUCUGAACAAAGUUUGAAGGAGAAUCGGUUCAAGGCAUGAACAGUUCUAAAUUUCCAGCAAGGACGAUUCCUUGGCUGGAGAGUAAGCUCGUUAACUAGAUAUUGGUGAAACUAGAUGAGGAAGAUUAUCCGUAGGUUCAUUUAACAAGACAAAGUGCAAGCUGAAAAUGUUUUCUUGGGGACCACAUAAUUUUGUUAGGGUGUUAGCUAGGAGGUAGGGAGCCAUGGUCCCUCAGUUUAUAUGUUAAAAUAUGCACGUAAUUUGACUAAAAGAUAUUUAACAAGUUUCCAAAGCUUA